GUGGUGGCUAAACAAUGUCUUGGAGUCACACCAGUCCGACAAUCCUGUGUAGCUUGCAUCCCUCAGGAGGAGCAGGGGUGAGAGGGUUAAAACAAAUUCUGCAGAGCCUUCGCAUACCAGAUUCUUAAAUGUGUACUCUCUGUUAUCUGAAGAAUAAAACUGCGUGAUUUCCUAUUAAAUUGUGUUUCUGAUUUGGUUCCGACAAACCUAGAAGUGAAUGUUUGAUACCAUCUGUUGAAGAAUUAAAUAAGGUGGAAGAAAGUCCAUGACAGUAUCUGGCGAGCCAGCCACGAGGGCGACAAUCCCAGCGGGAGCGCCUGCAGCCACUGACGAUGGGGGAGAUCGCAGCACUGAUGCGACUAAAUUCAUACCAAGGUUUGCCAGUGAGGAGUGAACCCCCACCGCCGUAAAAAAUACUUUUGGGGUUUCUUGCAGACAAAUCCAGAGUGUGGACUCGGAUGUGGACCAAAACAACCGCACGAAGGCCCUGGAGAGCAGGUGGUCUUGGUCUGGUCCCAAAUGAACUCUGGAGCUGUUUGUUUGUGGUGGGAACAUGAUCCAACCUCGAACCAAUCCAAUACCAGGUGGACUCUGCAAGUUUGAGCUAAACGGCUCCUGUAGCCACGAGUGUUUUAUAUUCUGGGAUGCGGCAGAGCACACAAACUGUAGCAGCUUGCGUAGUAGUAGUAGUAGCAGUUGCCAUUGCUCCAUGUUAAAUUGCAUAGCAAUGUUUCUCUCACAGAAAUAUGCACUACUCCAGAACACAGGACCUUCUUCCUGUAUUUACUUUUUUGCUCCCGCCCCAUACAUA